UUUUUACAAUGUGGUAACCCACAUACCACAUGAGAAAAAAAUCCAAUCAGAUUAAAAUAUGCCAACAAAACGUUUUAAAUUCCCAUCUGAAAAUUCUACCCCCAUGAGUACUACAGCAAGUUAUUUUCCUAGCAACCUGUGAUAGCUAUAGUCCCUAAUGAUUACUAACAAACGCUGAACGAACACUUCUCUAGUUUCAAAAUAAAAACAUUAGAAAUAAUUAUGAAACAGCCUGGCACCAAAAUUACAAUAAAUCCAAAUUUCGGAGAAAUUAGGAAGCAAUCCUCAGACAAUUAUUUUGAAACAGGUCUGAUGAAACACUGUGAUGUGACAAACUUUUAUUUCAAGAGAAAGAAAAACAAGAAAGUAAGGAAGAGCCCAGUGUCUGGAGAAAAGCUAGCAUUCAUCAGAGAAUCUGAUGGAGAACCAGAGUCUCCUGGCCAAUGCUGAGUUAUACAAAGACCCAAAUGAUACAUCGGCCACGAUCCAGAAUGCUCCCUGUAUAAAUACAGACACACCGUACCUGCCAAGCUGGCUUGGGCUGACAUGAUGCACUGCGUUCAAUG
rnacentral:lncRNA from 1 species